AAACUUUUCACUGCUUUAGGAACAUUAAUUAUCAUACUGUGAUAUGGAAGCAGACACGUUGCAGAUGUAUUUCCUAAUGGAGUGAAGAAAUCUAUUCAAGGACCUGCACCUUUCACAGACCUUAUCGGUUGAAAUCAGCAAUUGCUGAUUAGAUCAAAGUCCGCUGUUGUUGACUUCAGCACUUCCCUCCACUUUCACUAGUCUAAAUCAGGGGUUUUCAAUCUUUUAUAUGCCACUAAUAUCAUCAUCCUUGUGCGAGCAACAUCCACCCAAACAUUUAAAAGGCAUCUAUUUACUUCCUUGUAUACAGUUUAUACUGUAUUUUUUUUUUUUUUUUACAAAAACAUUAAUUCAACAUUUAGUUUUUAUAAAGUUGCAUUGUUACUUUUUACUAUUCAUCACAGUACUGUAUUUAUUAAUUUAUUAACUCAUCUAUUUUCAUUUUUAUUUACUCAUUUAUAUUUAUAUAAUUUAAUCCUAAUUCUUUUUAUCAUUUUUAAAUAUUAUUUUUACAUUAUUGUUUUCAAUUUGUCACAGUUCAGUAUUGAUUUAUUCAUCUAUUUUAAUCAAUUUUUUUAUUAUUCUUUACUGAUUUACUUCUUUAUUAUAUAACCUAUUGAUUUUUAACACUUCUUCUGUAAACAUUUCUACUGACCCCCAGCAUUCUUUUGCGGACCCCAGUUUAAAAACCCCUGGUCUAAAUGUAAAGAUCAGUGGCCUAGAUAGAACUAACAUCAUGCCUUGCCAAGGGAAUUAAUCAAACCCUAUGAAAAAAAGUCAGUGGCAUGUUUUCAACACAAAGUAAUGCCUUGCAUAUAGGAUCUUUUGUGCACUUCACUGUAACAUGCCCUGACAUUUACCAAGAACGUGUGUAAAAAUCACUGUUUACACCACUGACUACAACAAAGCCCUGAUCCUGCUGUACUCUCUCCAAAUAAGUGGGCGUUACAAUAUAAACACUGAAGGAAAUACCACACACCAAUGUUAUCUCUGUUCCUUAAAAGGAAAAACAUCAUUUAAAGUAUUCCUGUGCUCUUUAAAGAGAAAAACAAAGCUUUCUUUAAUGCAAUAGUACCACACCAGCGAUGCAUUUCAAAGCUAAAAUAUGAUAUUCACAUAAGUAAGUUACAUUUUUAAACACAUUACUUCCAUAAAAUCACAAUCUUCAUAGGAAUAAAGGAGAUAUGAACAGCGAAUCGUAAAUGCUUGUAACGUUAGUUGUCAACUCUGCUAGCAUUUAGCUUAGCCAGACAGCAAAUACGACACAGAGGAGCUCACAACACAACAAAUAUAGACGCUUCUAAACGUAUACACGAUAAAAACAUGUGUCUAAAUAUUGAAGUAACUCUAUAUUGUAAAGUGAAACUAAAAAGCACCGUAAAGUGCCUCAUGUGCUUCGUUAGACAGAGCUAGGCUAAUAUAACCGCAUAGUCCCUGCUAAUGCUUCUUCGCAGUAUAGAAUACAUAAAAGUAGAUUUCUUACCUUGAAAAGCUGAUUUUCCAGAUGAAACCCACACUCUGUGCUUGUUUGGUUUACACAAACAUAAGAAACAUUCAGAGUUUGGUGGCUGUGGCGGGUGAGAGUCCGUCACACUGUGGCCUUAGCGGCUAGGCGCUAACACACCUGAUCAUCACAUACACACAUACACGGGUCUAUAGCGGCACACUGAGCUGCACCUGACGGAUGAGCCGCGAACACAAAACCACUGGCCCA
rnacentral:lncRNA from 1 species